ensembl:rRNA 5S_rRNA 5S ribosomal RNA
GCUUGUGACCAAAUCACCUGCAAGCCACCCGAUAUUGUUAUAUCUCGGAAGCUAAGCUGGCUUGAGGCUGGUCAGUGCUUGGAUGGGCGACCACCGUGCGUAAAACAGAUGCUAUAGGCU